rnacentral:ncRNA from 2 species
GUAACAUACGCGCGUUUUGGUGCUCGCGGCCGGAUUCCCGGCCGCAGUUAAACGGGAAACACGCGCCGGCGUUGCCGGCGGUCAACGUGUGCUGCCCCCGCAACGGUAAGACAGGCGCCGCAUCCUUCGAUGCGGCAGGUUGCCUCCAAGGUCCACUGUACCGGCAAGACCAGGUAUGGGAAGGCGUGGCGAUCGGUUCUGUCAGCCCGGAUACCGGCCAGGACGGAUGGACGCAG